UACGGGGGGGGUAAGCGUUGUCCGGAAUUAUUGGGCGUAAAGAGCUUGUAGGCGGUUUGUCGCGUCUGCUGUGAAAAUCCGGGGCUCAACCCCGGACUUGCAGUGGGUACGGGCAGGCUAGAGUGUGGUAGGGGAGACUGGAAUUCCUGGUGUAGCGGUGAAAUGCGCAGAUAUCAGGAGGAACACCGAUGGCGAAGGCAGGUCUCUGGGCCACUACUGACGCUGAGAAGCGAAAGCAUGGGGAGCGAACAGG
rnacentral:rRNA from 1 species